AAGUCGUAACAAGGUUUCCGUAGGUGAACCUGCGGAAGGAUCAUUAGUAGUGGAGGGAGGGUGAAGGCGCAAGCCUGAACUUGACCGAGCGAGGGCGACAGCCUGAGCAGAGGGUGGAGGGUGGAGGAGUGGUAGUGCAGUGAUGUAGUAUCACUCCCUCCCACACACCCUCGUCACGGGCGCUCGCAGGAGUGCCUUGUAACAAGUAAUUUACAUCUAAAUCAUACAAGCAAAACUUUUAACAAUGGAUCUCUGGGCUCCU
rnacentral:misc_RNA from 1 species